AUCAAUACCACUAUGUAAUUACAUCAUAAGUAUAAAUAUAUUUAUAAAUAUCACUACAAAACAGUAUACACACCCCGGAGGAAGGAUUCUAUAAAAUAUAUUUAGCUAUCAAUAAACUGUACCCUGAUAGCCAAGUUGGCGAGAAAGUGACGAGAAACUUGCAGCCGCAACUGAACACCAAGUUGGCCGCCAACAGUUGGUACCUCCAAUAGUUGAUAGACAUUUUCUGAGAAAGUUGGUGGCAAAAGUUGUAAAUCCAAAAAGUUGACGGUCGCUUUCUGAGAAAGUUGGUGGCAAAAGUUGGCAAUCAUAAGUUGACGGUAAGUUUCCUUUCAAUUUCCUCAGAAACUUGCAUUCCAGUUGCAGCUCCAUACUGGUGCCAACUUUCUGAGAAAGUUGGCGGUAACUUGUAGCCAAAAGUUGGAAAAGCGAAAUUGUCAAUAACUUGUCGUCAAGUUGGUCGGAAACUAAUGAAUGACCAACUUUUUCACGAUCAUCUCGUGUUAUCAGGGAUCAAUAAACUGUAACUAUCGUCUUAAGCCAUCAUGAACUCUACCUCUACUAUACAAAAGAGAAUAAUUUUACCUACACAUGAUCAGUUUACAACAAUCACUAUAAAAAAUUUCUUCACGACCAUUUGCCUCUUCUUAUAAUAUAAUACAUUUUAUUAUUUAUUAAUAAUGAUAAUGAAAAAAAGCACUAAAUAAAUAAUCAAAAAAUUGAAAACCAAAAAAUCA